UGCAAGUCGAGCGAACGGACGAGAAGCUUGCUUCUCUGAUGUUAGCGGCGGACGGGUGAGUAACACGUGGAUAACCUACCUAUAAGACUGGGAUAACUUCGGGAAACCGGAGCUAAUACCGGAUAAUAUUUUGAACCGCAUGGUUCAAAAGUGAAAGACGGUCUUGCUGUCACUUAUAGAUGGAUCCGCGCUGCAUUAGCUAGUUGGUAAGGUAACGGCUUACCAAGGCAACGAUGCAUAGCCGACCUGAGAGGGUGAUCGGCCACACUGGAACUGAGACACGGUCCAGACUCCUACGGGAGGCAGCAGUAGGGAAUCUUCCGCAAUGGGCGAAAGCCUGACGGAGCAACGCCGCGUGAGUGAUGAAGGUCUUCGGAUCGUAAAACUCUGUUAUUAGGGAAGAACAUAUGUGUAAGUAACUGUGCACAUCUUGACGGUACCUAAUCAGAAAGCCACGGCUAACUACGUGCCAGCAGCCGCGGUAAUACGUAGGUGGCAAGCGUUAUCCGGAAUUAUUGGGCGUAAAGCGCGCGUAGGCGGUUUUUUAAGUCUGAUGUGAAAGCCCACGGCUCAACCGUGGAGGGUCAUUGGAAACUGGAAAACUUGAGUGCAGAAGUGGAAAGUGGAAUUCCAUGUGUAGCGGUGAAAUGCGCAGAGAUAUGGAGGAACACCAGUGGCGAAGGCGACUUUCUGGUCUGUAACUGACGCUGAUGUGCGAAAGCGUGGGGAUCAAACAGGAUUAGAUACCCUGGUAGUCCACGCCGUAAACGAUGAGUGCUAAGUGUUAGGGGGUUUCCGCCCCUUAGUGCUGCAGCUAACGCAUUAAGCACUCCGCCUGGGGAGUACGACCGCAAGGUUGAAACUCAAAGGAAUUGACGCGGACCCGCACAAGCGGUGGAGCAUGUGGUUUAAUUCGAAGCAACGCGAAGAACCUUACCAAAUCUUGACAUCCUUUGACAACUCUAGAGAUAGAGCCUUCCCCUUCGGGGGACAAAGUGACAGGUGGUGCAUGGUUGUCGUCAGCUCGUGUCGUGAGAUGUUGGGUUAAGUCCCGCAACGAGCGCAACCCUUAAGCUUAGUUGCCAUCAUUAAGUUGGGCACUCUAAGUUGACUGCCGGUGACAAACCGGAGGAAGGUGGGGAUGACGUCAAAUCAUCAUGCCCCUUAUGAUUUGGGCUACACACGUGCUA
rnacentral:rRNA from 1 species